ACGCUCGACACCUACGUGAGGCAGCAGUGGGGAAUAUUGCGCAAUGGGGGAAACCCUGAUGCAGCGACGCCGCGUGAAGGAAGAAGUAUCUCGGUAUGUAAACUUCUAUCAGCAGGGAAGAAAAUGACGGUACCUGACUAAGAAGCCCCGGCUAACUACGUGCUAGCAGCCGCGGUAAUCUGAGCGGCUGGCAAGGC
rnacentral:rRNA from 1 species